CUUUUUUCCCCUGGUGAAGAAUCUCGAGCAAAAAUGGACCCAAAAAUGGAUUCAACUCGGACUGAAAGAGUCGUCAUAUUAGUCGCAUCCAGAGCUGCAGGACACAUGGAGGAAACGGCAGCACUGGGAGUUCAGAGGCUGAAGUUGUAGGAGGAGCUCAGGAACGCCACGCCUUCAGAACUAUUGAUCCUGAUGUUCGCCACCACCAGAGCUGCAGAUGGGACCAAUUUUGUGGAUGCACACGACAUUAGAGGGUAAAAAGAUGAUUCUUUUACUUGGCAUUCAGAGCAAUGGACAUCAGGAGGCAUUCAUUUCUCUGUCUUCAACUUUGAGAUUAUUACUAGACCUGUACAGUAAGGUCACAAAUUAUAAUGGCUUAUUUGGAUUUAAAGUGACAGGAGACCAUAAAAUCAUAAAACUCAAACAGUAACACAAAAACUUAUUUUUACUGUGAAGCACCUUAAAUUACCACGCGUAUAAAAGUUUAAAUGUUUUUAGUUAAGCUGAAAGUGUUUAUGCACAAAACAGAAUCCAUGGAUGGAGUAGAUAUGACUCCAACAGGUUGAGGGUCAUUUGUUGAAAAAUUUAACUAAAAGAUA